rfam:Volvox carteri f. nagariensis unplaced genomic scaffold VOLCAscaffold_79, whole genome shotgun sequence.
GGCCGCGUGGCCCAAUGGAUAGGGCAUCGCCCUCCGGUAUUUCGGGGAUUAGGCGGGGAUUGUGGGUUCGAGUCCCACCGUGGUCG